CUCAAAAGCUUUUGCGGCAACCUGAGGCACCUUUGAACCUUGAUCAAUCUCAAGAAACUUGGAAGAAGAAGGAAGACCGUUUCCCAUCCACCGAAUCCAAAUUCUUUUCUGUUCCACAUAAAAUACCUGCUCCCCAAAAAGAGGAUCAAGAAGGAUGUGGAAGUGGAAACUUCAAGUUCUGAUGCAUGUCAGCCUCCUGCAGAUGGACUCCAUGUAGAUGAACAGAUCCAGAUACUAUUGAAGAAGAAGGAACAUACAGAGCUGCUAGUUGUUGUAAUUGUUCAGUCUCCUAGCCAGGAUCUCGAGUUCCUUUUACAUCACAAGGAAUUCAAUGCACUGAGGCCACAUGAAUGGUUAUUUGGAGAGACUAUUGAGUGCUAUUUCAGAACUGUACUUAAUAAGGAGGAUGCAAAUCUCUACCAGCUAAGCCAUGACACCACAGGUGUCAUUUUAAAUGGCACAAGAGAGCAGAUGGAACAGCAAGGAUUUUGAAAAGUCAACUUAGAGCAAUAUGAUGGGGUCAUCACUUUUGUCAAUAUCACCAAAAAUCACUGGAGGUUUGUGGUAAGUAAAAGAGUGCUAAUUUCAAUGAUAAGCUACUACAUAUGCCCAUUUAGACAUGUUUGAUCUUUCAGUGACAUUUAUUUGCUAAUUUAUUUGUUUCUUUUUAUCCAAUUUAGUUUGUAUAUGCUCAGACUGACACCCUUUUCAUGCUUGACUCUCUGAGUGGUACAAAUGAAAUGAAAUGAAAAGGCAUGCCAAAAAUUCGGGUAUGAUAGUCUGUUUUAAAAAAGAUAUUUAGCAUGUGUAGAUCCAAAACAGUAAUAAUGGAAACUAAGCAAAGUUCAUGUUGUGUAAGACUACCAUAAUCACACACUGCCCCCAAAAAGAAUUACCCCCAAAAGAGGAGCAAUGCGUUAAGUGUGAACGCAAAGAAAUACGUCACAAAGAUGAUCAAUGCUCAAACUGUGGAUACAGACAAAGAGAUCCAGUAGAUGUGCUCUACGACUGGGUUCAAUGUGAAAUUUGUCUGAGGUGGUAUCGUCUCAACAUUAAAGUGCCAGCACAGGAAGAACCAUGGACUUGUGAUUUGUGUCUGUAAGCUAUUCAGUUAGAGGAGCUUAUGCUGAAAGUGUUCUUACAUUGUAAGAAAAAAUGUUUUGCCUAUUUGAUAUGUUAUGUAAAUGCUUUACACUUUUUUAGUAUUUGGUAUAGGCUUCAUAUUGUUGUGUUGCUUGUUGUCCUCUGCUGGUCUUUUAUGUGAAUGAAUUUUGGGGGAAGAAAUACUUGCAUUUGGGAGGUUGAAAUAUUUGUGAUAUUGGGUAGUUGACUUUUUAUUAUCUACAAAAACAUUUAAAACACCUAAAAUGUUUUUUUUUUUUCUUUUUUUUUUUCAUAAUUAGGAUGCAAGUGAAGUGAUAUGAACAAUGUAAGGGUUUUCAAUAACAACCUCUUUUACUUUAAGAAAGUGUUGUGGUUUAUGCUCUAUGUAAAAAAAUGACUUGUCAAAGAUCUUUGAUUACAGAAGUAUUUUUACUUUAUUGUACAACCAAGGAGAUAGCCUCUUCAGGAGACCGCUCCUGAUUUCUGCUAUCGUCUCACUAUAUAUACAGGCAAAAGCCCUUCGCCAUACAUUUUAUAGAUAUUCUGAGAAAUGUAACAUUUACCAUGUGACACAUAUUCUUCAGCUUGAAAUAUAAAUUUCCAUACAUGUAAACACAUUCCUAAAUUUUCUCAUACAGCAUACUUUUUUACUAGCAAGCGCACACCCUUUCUGCUCUUUGUUCAUGUAUGAUUAUAUUUGUGGAGUGAGACAUGCUUAUAUUAUGCUGUAUUAUUAUCAAUUUUACUAUAAAAUCUUCUUCA